rnacentral:lncRNA from 1 species
CCUAGAGAGGCAUUCUCUGGAGCCGAGCAGUGUUACAGGAGCAGAUCUUCAGUCUUAGUAUUACAGGUUCCCAUCAUUUCUACCGCUUUCAUCAGUUCUUGUGCAGCAGAAUGAGGUCCCAGCAGGGUUUUCUCUCAUUGCUGCCUCCACCCUCUGCCUUGUCAGAAGUCUGACCCAGACCUCCCUGGACUAAACUCAAGAUGUCAUCAGAGGCUGGAGUGCAGUGGUGCAAUUAUG